rnacentral:ncRNA from 1 species
CAUUUCACGUUGACCAUGCUGAGACUUAUGGCGUUAUCCUGGGCAGCCGCGGAUGCUGGCUCAAGAGCAACGACAAGGCGUUGUCAUCAAUUGGGCUCAAUGUCACACGGAAGAUGAAAGAACACCUCAGCUGGUUGACAUUCGAAAACACGAUCCGAAUCUACAACUCAUUCAUGAAAAACUGAGUUGUUCUUGUUGUUGUUUCUUUUUCCUUUUACUAUACUUUCUUGUUUCAUUGUUAUUAUUUGUUGUUUUAUCUUACAUUUUACCGUCGGCAAUUCCAUUGUUAUUAUUACUGUUACUGGUAUUAUUAUUACUAUUGUUAUUACGUUUACUACUAUUUUCUUUGCUCUCGCGAACGUUCGUUGUUGUUACUUUUGGACCCGGUUUAAAGAAAUCGCACGCACAGCGGAACUGGACCGCCUAAACCAGAAACAUUAAAGUAACAAUAGCCAAAUGCCUCGUCAUCUAAUUAGUGACGCGUAUGAAUGGAUCAACAAGAUUCCUUCUGUCCCUAUCUACUAUCUAGCGAAACCACAGCCAAGGGAACGGGCUUGGCAAAAUCAGCGGGGAAAGAAGACCCUGUUGAGCUUGACUCUAGUCUGACUCUGUGAAGAGACAUGAAAGGUGUAGCAUAGGUGGGAGAUUGUCCCCUCUCCUCUUCAACUCAGUCAUGGACGAGUUGAUAGAGCGCCUCGAACAAAGUGGAGUGGGUUAUAAAAUCAAUAACACUGAGGUCGUAACACUGGCGUUCGCGGACGACGUAACUUUAGUCAGUAGAAGUCACAGGGGAAUGGAAAAACUUCUCUCCAUCACCCACGACUUCAUUAAUGAGAGGGGACUUAAACUAAACAUCAGGAAAUGCAAAGGUAUCCGUUUCGUCCGCACGCCCAAAACCAAAUCACUAGUGCAGGAUACCUCCAAGGCAUUUAAAGUCCGUGGUACCGGAGAGGAAUCUUCUUACAUUCCCAUGGCGGGGCUUGGGGAAGUCAUCAAGAUCCUGGGGGUCCCCAUAGCCCCAAACGGCAAACCUUCUUUCGACAUAGACACACUGGAAGGGACCCUGGAGAGGAUCCGGAAAGCCCCCCUGAAGCCCGCACAGAAACUUGCCACUGUGCGGGACUAUCUAAUUCCUUCUUUGGAAUUCAAAUUGGGAGUCCCUGGGGUAGGUAGGAGUGUAUUAGAGGAGGUCGACGCCUCCAUUAGGCAAACGGUCAAACGCUUCCUGCACCUCCCGCACACCGGCAUGAAUAACAUGUUCCUCACCAUGCCUAUUAAAGACGGCGGGCUAGGCCUGCGCUCGCUCCGCACACAGCACCUUGCACGCGUCGCUGUUGGCACUAACAGCAUGAUGAGUAGUGCUGACCCGACAUCACAAACCAUCGCCAGCAUGCCACAACACCAAAAACCCCUGCAUGCCGCACUUCAGCACUUCUCCGUUCCGGCAGCCACAAAGGACGCGUUGAAGAAGGGGAAGCGACAACUGCUCCGCGCAGAAAUCGCUGAACUAACGGAAACGUACCAGGGAAGCUGCCUGCCGACAUUCAGGAAGAGGCCUGUGGGUAAUUCCUGGCUGAGCGGACUUAACGGAAUGCGAAGCCGGGACUUCAUCACUGGGCUUAAACUCCGCUUUGGGGUGAUUGAAACUCGCUCCCAGAAAUGGAGGGGGAGAACUCCCCAAAACCCAGCGGUGUUGCUGUGCAGACACUGCGGGCAUUCAACCGGUAAACGGGAGACUGCCGCGCAUAUCUCACAGAAAUGCCCGCAGACCAAA